rnacentral:misc_RNA from 1 species
GGGCAGACGCAGUAUGGAAGAAGUUUGAUGAGUGCAUUGCAAGAGCAACAACAAACAGGAAGAAUUCCACUGGACCUUAAAGUUGAAGCACCUGUUUCUGUUAAACUUGGAAGGUUGAAGCUAAGGAAGGUCAGGAUCUUUGGGGAUUGCAUUUUGCUGGUGGAUAGCUUAUCUACCGAUAAUUUUAUUAGCAUUAAAGCUAGAAAUUGCAAAUUUAGAUUGAAG